CGUCGCCAGGUUGUCGCCAGGCGACGCGCACACGCCCGAUGGCCCAAGGCGCGUGGACCAGAUGCCCGUGGGCGCCGACGCACAGUGGGCCGAGAACGGCCCAUGAACGGGCCAACUCUCUUCGUCCUCCUCGCCUGAACUCCGUCUGUCCCCAUCGAUACGCUCCGCUCCGCCUCGGCCGCCUAGGGUUCGUCUUCGUCCCCCACCACCGCCCUGCCUCGGCCGCCUCGGUUCGUCUUCUUCGAUCGCCACAGCUCGCAAAUCGCAACGGCUCUGGUCUCAUCCAAUCUCCUAGCAUUAAACACAAUAAAUCCGUCUUCAAGGCAAUAGAAACUGCUCGGAAAAUUUCUUCCGCCGCCGCCGUCUUAAAGGCCCGCGAUGGUGCUGUCCGCCCCCACAACGAACCGGGCAAGCUACGCCGCUGCAGCCAACACGGGCAGCUGCUCGAACGCCGGUUCAUCUCCGCCUACGGAAAUUGUCGCGCCUCCAGAUUUCCGCUGCUACCCCAGGCCGUACGGUUUUCUUGGAAUUGAUUUCGGAUUGAUUUGUACACCUGUUCAUCAUCCACAGUGUAGACUGCAUUCUUCAACUGGUUGAUCUCCGCGUACGGAAUUUGUCGCGCCUCCGGAUUUACGCUGCUACCCAGGCUGUGCCAUUUUCUUGGAAUUCAUUUCGUUCAAGCAAAUGCGUCGAAUUCCAGGUUAUGUUGUUCACUGACUGAGGGUAUUUUCAUUUCCUUGAUGUAGCCGCUAAUGCUCUUCAGUCUUCACUGCAUGGCACCGCGAACGAAUACUGAUCACUGAAACCUCCAGAAUCUUUGUCUUCACUACAAUCUUAAGCUACCAGAGAUCCAGCAAAAUUCGUGCCCUCCAAACCUCCAAGGUGCUUGAUAAGAUUACCAUGUGAAUUGACAAGAUCCUAUCUGUAUUGGGCUCUUUGUUCGUCGAAUCGUAAAUGAGGCUCACAGUUUCAAUCCAAUGUUGUCUGACGGCCUGUAAUCCAUAUGGCAACGUCAGUUUGGAGCUGCUCUUCGACCGUCGUAUCUGCCCACUUUGCUUGGUUACAGUCACAAGAUCAACUAAAAGAAAAGUGUUUUCCGACGUGUGAUCGUGUCCAUUGAUUUGUGAUCAUUUUGCACCACUGGUCCGUGUUGCCCUAAAUUAUUUGUUACUUUGUUCACUCAAUUCAUCAGCUGGCCUACCAGUGAACAACGAGGCUCUUCAUAUCUGCAUUCUUGCCCAAUUCUGAGCAGCUGGUACUGGCUAUAGAUUGUAUCUUUUGAAGGACAGAUUGAUUAUUCAGUUUAGCUUUAAUAUAGUUCUGAAGAUGUUGACAUGAUUUUCCUGUCUAGCUUUUAUUCAGAUUAUAUUGGAGAAUAUCAGGUUUAUCUGAUGCUUCUCACGCACACUAAAACCUAUGAUACAGUUUGUGAAAUAUAUUUGCUCCAGCAAUGGCCAUGGCACAUAUUUCACAUUA